rnacentral:rRNA from 1 species
UACGGAGGGUGCGAGCGUUGUCCGGAAUCAUUGGGCGUAAAGGGCGCGUAGGUGGCCCGGUCAGCGUGCGGUGAAAGCUCGGGGCUCAACCCCGAGUCGGCCGUGCGAACUGCUGGGCUUGAGCACUGUAGAGGCAGGCGGAAUUCCGGGUGUAGCGGUGGAAUGCGUAGAGAUCCGGAAGAACACCGGUGGCGAAGGCGGUCUGCUGGGCAGUUGCUGACACUGAGGCGCGACAGCGUGGGGAGCAAACAGG